AUGACUGUUCUACAUGCUGAGAGAGGAAACAGCUUAUAUGGGCUCAGUACAGAGGCUGCACUCACUACUCACUGUGACAUGAUGUCUCCUACUGCUCCUCUCCUCUUGGCUUUAGCUUCUCUGUUUGCUGGCUCUUAUGGACAGACCAUUCAGCAACCACUCAGCCAAGUGUCUGUGUUACAGGGGGAAUAUGUACAGCUCAACUGCACACACUCUGGGGCUAUUUAUCUUUACUGGUAUGUCCAGUAUCCUAAUAAAGCUCUGGAAUUGCUGUUUAAUAAUUUGGGGCAAAAGUCAAAUGGGGAAUUUACAGUGAAUGUGGAAAAGAAAGACUUCCAUCUCAGCAAAGGAGAAGCCAAAGUGACUGACUCUGCCGUGUAUUUCUGUGCUGCAAGUGACACAGUUCUACAGUCAGACCUGACACUUGUCACAUAA